rnacentral:rRNA from 1 species
CCUACGGGAGGCAGCAGUGAGGAAUAUUGGUCAAUGGGCGAGAGCCUGAACCAGCCAAGUCGCGUGAGGGAGUACUGCCCUAUGGGUUGUAAACCUCUUUUGUCGGGGAGCAAAAGCCGGACGUGUCCGGCUGUGAGAGUACCCGAAGAAAAAGCAUCGGCUAACUCCGUGCCAGCAGCCGCGGUAAUACGGAGGAUGCGAGCGUUAUCCGGAUUUAUUGGGUUUAAAGGGUGCGCAGGCGGAUUUUUAAGUCAGCUGUAAAAUCGUGGGGCUCAACCCCAUCCAGCCGUUGAAACUGGGGAUCUAGAGUGUGCGAGAGGUAUGCGGAAUGCGUGGUGUAGCGGUGAAAUGCAUAGAUAUCACGCAGAACCCCGAUUGCGAAGGCAGCAUACCGGUGCACAACUGACGCUCAGGCACGAAAGCGUGGGUAUCGAACAGGAUUAGAUACCCGAGUAGUC